GUUUGAAACAGGAGACAGGCUGCAGGAGGUUCGCCAUCAGAAGCAGAGACAGGAAGAGAGACAGAGAUACAUGGACAUGGCCAGACGGAGAGAGGAGAUCAUCAACCUGCUACAUCAACAGAGACAGAAGAGGAUCCAGAGGGAAACAGUCUCGCUCCUCUACAAGCCCAGGCAGAGGGUCAGGAGUGAGAGGCUGGCUCUUAACCCCCCAGAGCACCUGGAAACAAACGUGGAGGAGGUCCGAAGGCUUCAGUAACACACAGACCUCAGCGUCGGAGCAGAACCAGGCAGACCUCAGCGUCGGAGCAGAACCAGGCAGACCUCAGCGUCGGAGCAGAACCAGGCAGACCUCAGCGUCGGAGCAGAACCAGGCAGACCUCAGCGUCGGAGCAGAACCAGGCAGAUCCAUGUCUGUAGGAGUUGAUGUUUUAAUUAGAAUGACUUUCUGUUUUUAUAAAGUCUGUCUGUCUGUGAUUAACUGGGUGGAAAUAUUUUCAUUUUUGUAUAAAGGAGAUCUUAUCUUUAAAAGAGCGGGAUUGUCAAAAGUUCGGACACUACAGACAUUUUCAUGAGAAGACUGAUUUUUGGGAUGUCUCCUAGUCUGACAAUAAAUGCUUUAUUGGCAUGAAUGGGUGGUUUCCACUGUCACCAAAGCAUUGUCUAUGAAGUAUAACAUAAAUUAACAAUAUGUUUGAGCAACUAUAAAAAUAUAUACUACAUGGUA